CUUCACUCGAGGAACUACCGGUGAGUGCCAAUUUGGGUCAGAGUUGCUUAGCAACAAAGAUCAAUGCACCCGGGCUUUGUAGUUUUGGGUGGUUCCGCCACAGUCCGGGGCCUGAAGCCGGCACUAGUUGUCCCAAGAAGCCGAGGACAACUGUACGGAAUAGGAGGAUCAGCAGUGAAGUCAGCCCUGGACCUGUGCCUAAGCAGAGGCGAGUUGUUGAGGAGAGGGCUCAUGCUACUGCUGCUCCUGAUAUGGCGGAGUCGUCGAGGAGGACUGGUGAAAUGGGAUCGCAACCUUCGGAGGAGGUCCCAGUUGGUGAGCCCAUCGUUCCUCCUUACAAUGGUUCGAAGGUUCUUCCAAUUGCUCGACUGCUUCACGCGGAUAAGGCAGUAGGUAUCUUGCCAGAAGUUGAAGAGGCGGAGUCGCUUCGAAUGUUAUCAUGGAGAGCAGCUUGAGGAUGAUCUGCAGUUGACGGCUGGAAACAUGAAGAAAUUCCAGGCCGUUGUUCGGAAAUUCACCAAGUUCUCUGUGCAAAUGGUCAACCGGUCAUAUUUGAAGUCACAGAAAUUGAAGGCGACUGAAGCGGAUCGCCGAAAGAUCAUUCUGCUGGAGGCGGAGAAUGCUGCUUUGAAGAAGGAUAAAACCGCCCUCGAGCAGAAGAUCAAAAUGUUGAAGGAAGUGAUUCAGAAGAAUUGAGGUAACUUCCUGUGCUUUCUUUGUUGUGAGGUUCUGUUGACGCUCCUUAGCGCCACAAUUUGUAUACC